AGGGUAAUAGCUAAGUGGUAGAGUGUGUGUUUGGCAUGCGUGAGGUCCUGGGUUCAUUCCCCAGUACCUCCA
rnacentral:tRNA from 1 species